CAGCAAAAUCUCAAAGCCCUAAAAAAUCCCAUUUUCACUCCUCAGAACCCGAAACCACCACAACCAGACGAGAUACUAGAGAUAUUCUCUAAAAUUUCACCCCAAAUACCCUCGAUCUUCUACUUAGAGAAUCUGGUUCUUUGCGAUUUCACCGAAGUUCCAACCGUUCUUUUACUUGGAUCAUUCAAUAUCCAUUCUUAAAGUCAGCUUGGAUGUUAAACCAAAGUCAAAUGUCGUGUAAAAACUCUCACAAGUCUGUUGUAAAGUGGGUAAAUUUGAAACACCACUUGCUUUAAGAGAAGUGGGAAAGCCUAGUCAAGUUGCAUUUAAGCUGGCAGAUUCUGGAGAGGCUCGAAGACAUUCAUUUGAACCAAAGGAGCAUCAGGUGGUUUCUACUCUAGAUACACAUUGUCACUCGGAACCCUUUCACCACUCAGAUUCCGUGGGAGGGGGUGAAAGCUGUUCCACAUUUUCCCCAGGAGUUUCUGUUGAAAUGCCCUACUCAGAAAGGAAGGCAGCUUGUGACCUGGGGUGCAAUGGAGCUGCAGGGAAAUUCAAAACCUUCAGAAAUUUUAGUAGCUUCUCUUGUGCAAUAAAAGCUUGAGAAAUCUCAGCCACAAAAUUAUGCAAUUUGAAGAUAAUAUAUCUCAAGAGGAUUCUGGGGUGAUUUAUGCUAAUGGUCCUCGAAAAACAAAUGAUAAGUACGAGUUCAUAGGAAUGAGAUUAGAACUAGCAAGUACACUGUGAUCACUUUCCUGGCGAAGAAUCUGUUUAUUCAAAUCCAUCGAGUUGCUAGCUGCUCUGAACCAGCUCACCCUCUUGCUAUUUUUGGUAGAACUGUAUCACUUUUUCCUUCUGUUCUUUGUGCUCUGUGUUACGGCUAUUAAAGAUGGAUAUGAAGAUUGGCAAAGACACAAAUCAGACAGAAAUGAGAACAACAGGAAUCUCUUGUUGUGCAAUAUGACAAAAGUGGAGAUAAAAUCGUGCUGAUGAGGUUGUUAAAAUACGUGCCAACAAGACAAUUCCACGUGACAUGAUUUUUUUGAGGACAAGUGAUACUGGUGGGAUAGCAUACACUCAAACAAUGAAUCUUGAUGGUGAAUCGAACUUGAAGACUGAUGUAUGCACGGAGCAGUUUCAAUGGCUAUUGACGAGGCAGUAUUGGAGGGCCUAUCACAUGCCAGCAGCACCCAGCCGACAUGAGAUUUGAUGGGCAUAAAUUUCCACUCAGCCAAUCAAACAUCAUUUUGCUGGGUUGCCAGUUGAAGAACACAGCGGGGUUGCCAGUUGAAGAACACAGAAUUGGCAAUCGGUGUUGCUGUGGACGCUGGACAGGAAAUGAAGGCAAUGUUAAACAGUGCAGCAUCUCCUUUCAAACGAAGCAGACUGGAAAAGUGGAAAGCCAUAUGAACAAGGAAACCUUGUGGUUGUCGGUUUUUCUUUUUAUUAUGUGUGUGGUAGUGGCGCUUGCGGCUCAGAGAAAUGAUCACCAGCUAGAUACCCUGCCUUACUAGUAUCACUUGCAUGAUACUUACCAUUCAGUGCAGGAAUCAUCUGUUGAAGAAGUGGCAAACCCUCAAAAGCAGAAACCCGAAUUUGAAAUAGUCAUUUGAUAGUGAGCUGGUUGAGUUGUUGCAUAAGAACUUAGAUGGAGAUGAAAGGAUAGUGGUACACGAGCAAUGAAGAUGUAGGAGCUAUUGAGUAUCAGUGUGAAUCUCCUGACAAGCAAGCCUUAGUCUCUGCCGUUUCUGCAUAUGGAUACACAUCUGGGCACAUCAUGGUUGAUGUCAAUGGCGAGAAAUUAAGGUUGAACAUAUUGGGUUUGCAUGAGUCAUGAUGUGUGCAAGAGCAUGUCAGUUGUUAAAUUUCCUAACAAUGCCGUAAAAGUGUUGGUGAAGGGAGCUGAUAGCUCAACGGUCAGCAUGAGAAUAAUACAGACAACCGUAAAGAUCUUUUAUCAAGAAAUAUAAAGCAUGCAACUCAGAAUCAUUUGAUAGAGCAUUCUCGAGAAGGUUUGCGCACGCUUGUCCUUGCUUCCAGGAUCUUACAGAUGAAGAAUUUGAAGAGUGGCAAUGCUGCUAUGAAGAGGCGAGCACUUCGUUGAUUGAUAGAUCCGCUAAGUUGCGCCUAGCAGCAUCUCUCUUAGAAUGUUAAUCUUCUUGGGGGACUGCAGUUGAAGAUAAGCUACAAUAAGGUGUUUCAGAAGCCAUUGAUUCCCUUCAGCAAGCAGGAAUUGAAGUUUGGGUUCUUACUGGGGAUAAGCAAGAGAUUCCAACUUCAAUCGGUCUCUCAUGCAAACUUCUGACCCAGGUAUGCAGCAGAUUAUUAUAAAUGGCACUACUGAGGAAGAAUGCAGAAAACUGUUGGCUGCACAAAAGUCAAAUAUGGUGGUGUUAAUGAUUGUGGCGAUUCUGCUCCUCUGUUUCAUUGAGAAGGCCUUAACCUCUCUGGUUCCUAUGUUGUCAAAAAUGCCAGACCUCAUCCUUAGAACUUGACGUGGACAAUACAAUUCGUCGUGGGUAUAUGAGAGAGGUGGUGUAGUUACACAGGUGAACCAACCAAAGGUGUGGAGUUUGGGGCACUUAGAGAAGAUAUCCUGGUGAUUAUCGUCCGAGUGAAUAUUCUAAGUUUAAUCAUUCACCUCUGCUGCACUUGGCUUUUCAAGUGUUGGAUAAGUUCGUCGGGUAAUUGGGACGCACAGAAAUGAUUUCUAUCUCUAAAACCAUCAAUGAAACCUCAAGGCAGAGACAUUGAUCAAGUUUGCUGUAUUACUUCAUCUCAAGGCAGAGAAAAUAUCAGUGAAGGGGAUCAACAAGCACAUUAAGAGGGUGAUGGUGGAGAUGAGUCUGGUCACCACACUGUUUUCAUCGCCCUCUUACUAGUUCCUGCUUAUGCAGGAGAUAACCUUCAAAGUGUUUGUCAAUGGUUUGAGUCACAUACUGGUGGCAUAUCUACUUGAGUACGUGAUUCUGUAGGUGUAAAUGAUGCUACAUUGCCAGAGGAUGCCGAAGGGGUUAUAAGAUUAUUUGAAAAUCAGCCAGAGGAUGCCGAAGGUCUAACUCAACAGCACUCCUGCAAAAUGGUACGUUCAGUGCCUCAAAGGGGCUGGAAUAUGUUGUCCUUGGAACUGCUAGCGCACCUUUUCACAUGGUGACAGUAGAAUAAGGGAUAUCUAAAGAUAUGUUAAUGCUCUCAUCAACAUUAUUCUGGCAAUCCCCAUUCUUGGAGCAAUUAUGGAGAAAGGGGUAUUCAUAAAGCUAUGGGAUUAAGUCGGGAGAUCCAACCCAGCAUGAAGUCCACUACGAAAUUUAGUGAUGUUAAGGGAGUUGAUGAGGCCAAAGCUGUGCUGGAAGAAGUUAUCCAAUAUCUUCAUGACCCCAAGGUAACUGCAGUAUAACAUAUUAGAGCCUGCAAAUGCUCGUAUAGAUCCCAUUAUCAACUGCUGCUCCAAUUAUGGUCUGAGAACGUGAAUCUGCAUGUAUGCUGCACAUGUUGCACCUAAAUUUCCAAGAAUAGGUUACAGACAAUAUGAUUAUCAGUGCGGAGACUUUUCCUGUAAUGUUGAGCAAUGUCGUAAAUGACCUGCCCUUCAAUUUUACUUUUUACUCGUGUUUUUAUCAGCAACAAUACAUUUUGGGUUUAGUAGAAAACCGAUUUUUCCAUUUCAUCAUAACUCAUCUGGGUCGUUUCAUCACAUUGAUUCUUCUUUCAGUGUGUGGGCUCCACGAGAAAUUACUCUGAUUAACAAUUAAUAUCAAACUUAGUUGUUUC